rnacentral:rRNA from 2 species
AAAACGACUCUCGACAACGGAUAUCUCGGCUCUCGCAUCGAUGAAGAACGUAGCGAACUGCGAUACUUGGUGUGAAUUGCAGAAUCCCGUGAACCAUCGAGUCUUUGAACGCAAGUUGCGCCCAAAGCCAUUAGGCCGAGGGCACGUCUGCCUGGGCGUCACG